CUCGUAGGCGGUUUGUCGCGUCGUCUGUGAAAUCCCGCAGCUCAACUGCGGGCGUGCAGGCGAUACGGGCAGACUUGAGUACUGCAGGGGAGACUGGAAUUCCUGGUGUAGCGGUGAAAUGCGCAGAUAUCAGGAGGAACACCGGUGGCGAAGGCGGGUCUCUGGGCAGUAACUGACGCUGAGGAGCGAAAGCGUGGUAGCGAACA
rnacentral:rRNA from 1 species